rnacentral:rRNA from 1 species
GCACCGAGCGGAUGAGUUGCGAACGGGUGAGUAACGCGUAGGUAACCUGCCUCUUAGCGGGGGAUAACUAUUGGAAACGAUAGCUAAUACCGCAUAAAAGUCGAUAUCGCAUGAUAUUGAUUUGAAAGGUGCAAUUGCAUCACUAAGAGAUGGACCUGCGUUGUAUUAGCUAGUUGGUGAGGUAACGGCUCACCAAGGCGACGAUACAUAGCCGACCUGAGAGGGUGAUCGGCCACACUGGGACUGAGACACGGCCCAGACUCCUACGGGAGGCAGCAGUAGGGAAUCUUCGGCAAUGGGGGCAACCCUGACCGAGCAACGCCGCGUGAGUGAAGAAGGUUUUCGGAUCGUAAAGCUCUGUUGUAAGAGAAGAACGAGUGUGAGAGUGGAAAGUUCACACUGUGACGGUAACUUACCAGAAAGGGACGGCUAACUACGUGCCAGCAGCCGCGGUAAUACGUAGGUCCCGAGCGUUAUCCGGAUUUAUUGGGCGUAAAGCGAGCGCAGGCGGUUAGAUAAGUCUGAAGUUAAAGGCUGUGGCUUAACCAUAGUACGCUUUGGAAACUGUUUAACUUGAGUGCAGAAGGGGAGAGUGGAAUUCCAUGUGUAGCGGUGAAAUGCGUAGAUAUAUGGAGGAACACCGGUGGC